ensembl:lincRNA
AUGGAAUGGUCUCCUGAUGGUGAAUAUUUUGCUACUGCUGGAAAGGAUGAUUGUCUUUUGAAAGUAUGGUAUCCUAUGACUGGUUGGAAGUCUUCAAUUAUACCUCAGGAUCAUCAUGAAGUGAAAAGGAGACAGUCCUCUACUCAAUUUUCCUUUGUUUACUUGGCACAUCCCCGAGCUGUGACAGGUUUUUCAUGGCGUAAAACUAGCAAGUAUAUGCCCAGGGGCUCUGUCUGUAAUGUGUUAUUAACUUCAUGUCAUGAUGGUGUGUGCCGGCUCUGGGCAGAAACUUUAUUACCAGAAGACUGUCUUUUGGGUGAGCAGAUUUGUGAGACUACCACUUCCAGCAUUGCCAGCAACCUUUCUCAUGCUGGAAGACACAAAGACAGAAUACAGCAUGCUCUUGAGACAAUACACCAUUUGAAAAAUUUAAGGAAAGGACAGAGGAGGUCAUCUGUUCUUGUAACUCACGCUGAAUUAAUGCCCGACCAGACAGCAAUGCAUGAAGUUCAAAGACACAUUUCCCACCAUGCAAAUGCCCUCUGUCAUUUUCAUAUUGCAGCAAGCAUCAACCCUGCCACAGAUAUUCCAAAUGUCUUGGUUGGCACUGCAUUUAAUGUUGAUGAUGGAAAUGGGGGCUUUGUAGUUCAUUGGUUAAACAACAAGGAAUUUCAUUUUACGUCAUCUACAGAAAUAUUUAUGCAUCAGUUACGAAAACUUUCUGAUAAGCAGGUAGAUCAUGAAAGUGAUGAUGCAGAUAGAGAAGAUGAGGAGCAUUCACAGGAGGAUAGAGAACGGGGUUUACAUAUGAAAUUAGACCAUGAUUUAUCCCUGGAUAGAGAAUCUGAGGCAGGUACAGGAUCAUCGGAACAUGAAGAUGGAGAAAGAGAAGGAAGUCCUAGAACUUAUUCACGACUUAGUGUACCAAUGCCACUGCCUACGGUUCUGCUUGAUCGGAAGAUUGAAACGCUGCUAACUGAAUGGAAUAAGAAUCCUGAUAUGCUUUUUACAAUACACCCUGUAGAUGGUACCUUUCUAGUGUGGCAUGUAAAGUAUUUGGAUGAAUAUAAUCCUGGAAUAUUUAGACAAGUCCAGGUUUCUUUUUCUUCUCGGAUUCCUGUUGCAUUUCCCUCUGGUGAUGCAAGCUCUCUUAGUAAAAAUAUCAUGAUGUAUGCCUGUAUAAAUGCGACAAAAGAUUCUGACCACACCUUGUUACACCAGGAGGGGAUGUCUGUAGGCAGUCCUCACGGAUCACAGCCACACUCUAGAUCACACAGUACAAAUAUGAACAUCUUAGCUCCCACAGUGAUGAUGAUCUCUAAACACAUAGAUGGUUCUUUAAAUCAGUGGGCAGUCACUUUUGCUGAUAAGUCUGCCUUUACCACUGUUCUAACUGUAUCUCACAAAUUUAGAUAUUGCGGUCAUCGAUUUCACCUCAAUGACCUGGCAUGUCAUUCAGUUUUACCAUUGUUAUUGACAUCCUCUCAUCAUAAUGCUCUGUUGACUCCUGAAUCAGAUUAUCAGUGGGACUCAGACAAUAAAUUAAGUAGAUUAAUGGACCCUGUAAAACAUAUGAAAGGUUCCUCAAAACAACCUCUUAGAAAUGCAGCAACUCGUACAUUUCAUGACCCAAAUGCAAUCUACAGUGAACUUAUUCUGUGGCGUGUAGACCCAAUAGGACCUUUGUCAUACACUGGAGGAGUAUCAGAAUUGGCUCGAAUUAACUCUUUACAUACCUCAGCGUUCUCUAAUGUGGCUUGGCUUCCAACUCUCAUUCCCAGUUACUGUCUAGGCACAUAUUGCAAUUCUGCAAGUGCUUGCUUUGUUGCUUCUGAUGGCAAAAAUCUGAGACUCUAUCAAGCUGUAGUGGAUGCAAGGAAAUUAUUGGAUGAAUUGUCAGACCCAGAAUCUUCAAAACUUAUUGGAGAAGUGUUUAAUAUUGUGAGCCAACAGUCUACAGCUCGACCUGGCUGCAUUAUUGAACUCGAUGCAAUAACCAACCAAUGUGGCUCAAAUACACAGUUGCUUCAUGUGUUUCAAGAAGACUUUAUUAUAGGAUAUAAACCACAUAAAGAAGAUAUGGAGAAAAAGGAAACAGAAAUAUUUUUUCAGCCAUCACAAGGUACUUUAAAAAAAUAGUCUGCAUUUGUUUACCUUCAUGUUAACAAGACGAUCUCUAAGCUUUCAUUGAGUA